rnacentral:lncRNA from 1 species
CUUCCUACUGGAAUCAAUUCAAAUUCAAAGCAAUAGAUUGGACUCAUCGAAUUUAUACAUCAUGUAGAGAGAGAAUAUUAGAGGAGAGAGAAAUUGAUGAAGAGGAACAUGGCCGGUCCAAUGAUACUGCCCGACAUCUCAAUUGAUCUAAUCAAGAUAAUUUAAUCAAAUCAUGAUUGAAUUAGUGGAUAGAUAAUUCAAUAAAAAUCAUAGUUAAUCGAAUCUAAUAGCAUCCGAAUCUGGUCAAAGUAGGUGGCGGCAUGCUAUCUGAUGACUAUAGAUCAGGACUCUCUUUGCUAGGGUC